AGAGUUUGAUCCUGGCUCAGAUUGAACGCUGGCGGCAGGCUUAACACAUGCAAGUCGAACGGUAACAGGAGAAAGCUUGCUUUCUUGCUGACGAGUGGCGGACGGGUGAGUAAUGCUUGGGAAUCUGGCUUAUGGAGGGGGAUAACGACGGGAAACUGUCGCUAAUACCGCGUAGUGUCGAGAGAUGAAAGUGCGGGACCGCAAGGCCGCAUGCCAUAGGAUGAGCCCAAGUGGGAUUAGGUAGUUGGUGGGGUAAAGGCCUACCAAGCCGACGAUCUCUAGCUGGUCUGAGAGGAUGACCAGCCACACCGGGACUGAGACACGGCCCGGACUCCUACGGGAGGCAGCAGUGGGGAAUAUUGCGCAAUGGGGGCAACCCUGACGCAGCCAUGCCGCGUGAAUGAAGAAGGCCUUCGGGUUGUAAAGUUCUUUCGGUGACGAGGAAGGCGUGAUGUUUAAUAGGCAUCACGAUUGACGUUAAUCACAGAAGAAGCACCGGCUAACUCCGUGCCAGCAGCCGCGGUAAUACGGAGGGUGCGAGCGUUAAUCGGAAUAACUGGGCGUAAAGGGCACGCAGGCGGCUAUUUAAGUGAGGUGUGAAAUCCCCGGGCUUAACCUGGGAAUUGCAUUUCAGACUGGGUAGCUAGAGUACUUUAGGGAGGGGUAGAAUUCCACGUGUAGCGGUGAAAUGCGUAGAGAUGUGGAGGAAUACCGAAGGCGAAGGCAGCCCCUUGGGAAUGUACUGACGCUCAUGUGCGAAAGCGUGGGGAGCAAACAGGAUUAGAUACCCUGGUAGUCCACGCUGUAAACGCUGUCGAUUUGGGGAUUGGGCCUUGAGCUUGGUGCCCGAAGCUAACGUGAUAAAUCGACCGCCUGGGGAGUACGGCCGCAAGGUUAAAACUCAAAGGAAUUGACGG
rnacentral:rRNA from 1 species